AACGCAUCUUGCACCUUAUGGUAUUCCAUAAGGUACGUCUGUUUCAGUACCACUAAUAAAUCUCCUCUCCACCUUGGUGGUUUAAAAGAACGAGAUAAAUGAUUACUGGUUCUGGUGAUUUUAUUUUAUAUAAAAUUACUCUCAACCUAAAUAUUAGGCUCGACUUUUCUUUUUUUUCCUCGGAAAAAAAAACCAGUCAGGCUUUAAUAGAAUUUCAUUUUUUCUACUAAGGUUUAUUGCCAUCACUUUUUUUUAACAAAACUUGGCCUGAAAUCAGAUGGGACUACCCGCUGAACUUAA
rnacentral:misc_RNA from 1 species